rnacentral:ncRNA from 2 species
GAAAAACAGCCAGGGAGCCCUGAAGGGCUGAGAGGAAGCGCCUGAGACUUCGACCUGUAUUACCUGAUUUGGAUCAUGCCAACGUAGGGAGUGUUAUAUAGCAUACA